CAGUAGCCGCGGUAAUACGAAGGUCCCGAGCGUUGUUCGGAAUCACUGGGCGUAAAGGGAGCGUAGGCGGCGUGGUAAGUCAGAUGUGAAAUCCCGGGGCUCAACCCCGGAACUGCAUCCGAUACUGCCGUGCUAGAGGAUUGGAGAGGUAGCUGGAAUUCUUGGUGUAGCAGUGAAAUGCGUGGAGAUCAAGAGGAACACUCGUGGCGAAAGCGAGCUACUGGACAAUAUCUGACGCUGAGGCUCGAAGGCCAGGGUAGCGAAAGGGAUUAGAUACCCCGGUAGUCCCUGUCUCUUAUAC
rnacentral:rRNA from 1 species